rnacentral:lncRNA from 1 species
CGUCUCCCCCACGAACCUAGGGCUCCUCCUCCUCCUCCGGCGUCUUCCCCGCAGGCCGGGUCUCCUCCUCCUCGGGCGUCUCGACCGCAGGCCGGGUCUCCUCCUCCUCCGGCGUUUCCACCGCAGGCCGGGUCUCCUCCGCCACCGGCGUCUCCUCCGCAGGCCGGGUCUCCUCCUCUGGCCUCUCUUCCGCUGGCCGGGCUCUCCUCCUCCUCCUCCCGCGUCUCUACCACGGGCUGGGGUCUCCUCCUUCUCCUCCAGCGUCUCUACCGCGGGCUGGGGUCUCCUCCUCCAGCGUCUCUACUGCGGGCUGGAGUCUCCUCCUCCAGCGUCUCUACUGCGGGCUGGGGUCUCCUCCUCCAGCGUCUCUACUGCGGGCUGGGGCCUCCUCCUCCAGCGUCUCUACUGCGGGCUGGAGUCUCCUCCUCCAGCGUCUCUACUGCGGGCUGGGGUCUCCUCCUCCUCCUCCAGCGUCUCUACUGCGGGCUGGGGCCUCCUCCUCCAGCGUCUCUACUGCGGGCUGGGGCCUCCUCCUCCAGCGUCUCUACCGCAGGCCAGGGACUCCUCCUCCUUCUCCUUUGCCGUCUCCACAACGGACCGAGGUCUCCUCCUCCUCCGGCGUCUUCACCGCAGGCCGGGUCUCCUCCUCUGGCGUCUCUACCGCUGGCCGGGCUCUCCUCCUCCUCCUCCAGCGUCUCCACCGCAGGCCGGGCUCUCCUCCUCCUUCUCCUUUGCCGUCUCCACCACGAACCGAGGUCUCCUCCUCCUCCUCCGGCGUCUUCACCGCAGGCCGGGUCUCCUCCUCCGGCGUCUUCACCGCAGGCCGGGUCUCCUCCUCCGGCGUCUUCACCGCUGGCUGGGGUCUCCUCCUCCUCCUUCAGCGUCUCUACCGAGGGCUGGGGUCUCCUCCUCCUCCUCCAGCGUCUCUACUGCGGGCUGGGGUCUCCUCCUCCGGGGUCUCCACCACGGACUAGGGUCUCCCCCUCCACACACCGGCGUCCUCCCCCAUGCUCUCUAUGCAAGAAGCCCACGCACGCCCCCGCCUCCCUUUUAUCAAAGGCACCAAUUGCCCAUCAGGAGGGCUCCACCCUCAGCUCGUGGCCCCACUGCCUCCUAGGAGCCCCACCUACCAACACCGGUGGGCUUUUAAUCUGCUAA